GUUUAUUGGGCUACGAAAAAUAAUAAAAAAUCUAGCCCAGUUGCCGAGCUCUCCUUCUUCUACAAUGGCCGCUUACAGAUUCGUAGGUUUCCCGUCUUCUUCUUCUUUAUGUAAUCCGAGCAACCGACGGUGUAGAUUCUGGAUGCAGCCGUUACGGAAAAUGCAUUGAUGCGAUGCCAUUGACGACAUUCUUAACUCCUUAGCCCCACACCAUCCACGAUAAAUCAUUCAUUGCAUCUUAACUCUCAUCAAGGCGGUGGAACUUGAUCUAUAAGAAGGUAAACUUUCUUUGCGUAAAACUCAUCUCACAACUCCUACAACACUACAAAUUUCUGAAAAACUUCUUUCUCUCCAUCAUCCAUAACGUUUACUCUUCACCGCAACAAAACUGGCGAACCCUAACCUCCCCAUCGUUUGCGGAGGACUGUAAUGACCGGACUCUUGCCGUCGUGUCUGGAUUGCAUAGAGCUUGAGAUAUGCGGAGCAUAGACGUGGCCGUGUUACUGACUCAGGAAACAAAGGAAGAGUAACGGCAACGGGAGUCCAGCAGACUAAAAGAUGCACUCUUAGAGAGGCGGAGGCCGAGGACAAUAUCAGCUGCGAGAAUUUUGAAAUAUCCAAAAGUAAACCUUCAAGAGAAUCAGUUAGAAAAGUAGUUCGUGAACAAGAGAAGGAAGUUAUGUUAUUUGAUAAUGAUAGUGGUGGCUCUUACAAGGCGGCUGCACAUGAAAAAGAUGGAGAUAAUGCUCUUUUCCCUGAAAGUAUAAAUCUUUCACUAUGUUUAUGAUGUUAAAUAUGAUCAUUUAUGCAUAGUUUUGGUUUAAUAUUUUUGGUUUGUGCUCAAUAAGGUGACGACAACAGUUCAACAUGGUACGAGAACGAACUACUAUGGGCACCUUCGUCGCCAAAAUAACUGAAGAUCGGUAUUGUUCUCUCCAAAGGUGAAGUACCUGGUGGGUGCACACUGUCAUACAUGAACCAUUCGUGUUGUGUGCAGGUUGAUGUUGUCCUAAGAUUAUCAUCUCUAAGUUUUCUUGAUGUUGUAUAAAAGACAUGCAUUGAGAGCUGAAGAAGCAUCUCAUCACUGCUAGCUAUAUUGAUGAUGAAAUAUCCAUGUUACAUGAGAUGGCUAAGAAUGCUUGGAUAACGGUUCUUGGUGAAGCAACAUCCCACAAUAGUGUGAAUCUCACUUAGCCUUUAGUUUGAAUCUCAACCCUCUUAAUAGUGUGCGUCAGAGGAAAAAUGUGCGUUACCCUAUAUAUCUAUAUCUAAAUUAUACUAUAUAUCUAUGUUAAUAUCAUUAAAAUUUAAUUAUAUAUCAUAUACGAUAGAUAAAAUUGAUUGUUUUGA